AUUGAACGCUGGCGGCAGGCCUAACACAUGCAAGUCGAACGAGUGGCGGACGGGUGAGUAAUGUCUGGGAAACUGCCCGAGGGAGGGGGAUAAAUACUGGACACGGUAGCUAAUACCGCAUACCAUCGGAUGUGCCCAUGUGGGAUUAGCUAGUAGGGUGGGUAACGGCUCCCCUAGGCGACGAUCCCUAGCUGGUCUGAGAGGAUGACCAGCCACACUGGAACUGAGACACGGUCCAGACUCGUACGGGAGGCAGCAGUGGGGAAUAUUGCACAAUGGGCGCAAGCCUGAUGCAGCCAUGCCGCGUGUAUGAAGAAGGCCUUCGGGUUGUAAAGUACUUUCAGCGAGGAGGCGUUACUCGCAGAAGAAGCACCGGCUAACUCCGUGCCAGCAGCCGCGGUAAUUC
rnacentral:rRNA from 1 species